rnacentral:tRNA from 1 species
UGUGGUGUAACUCAAUUCCCGCUUGCGGGUUAGAUGGGUAGAGUAAUGCAUUGACCGGUUUAUCCGGCAGGGCAGGCAUGAUGCUAAUGCUGAACCUGAGUGCGGGUUCGAGUCCCGCCACCACAUCCA